ACUCCUACGGGAGGCAGCAGUGGGGAAUAUUGGACAAUGGGCGCAAGCCUGAUCCAGCCAUACCGCGUGGGUGAAGAAGGCCUUCGGGUUGUAAAGCCCUUUUGUUGGGAAAGAAAUCCUGUCGAUUAAUACUCGGUGGGGAUGACGGUACCCAAAGAAUAAGCACCGGCUAACUUCGUGCCAGCAGCCGCGGUAAU
rnacentral:rRNA from 1 species